CGUUUUCCUGCCCAGUACCUGAAGCUGCGGGAGCGAAUGCAGAUACAGAAGGAGAUGGAGCGGCUGCGCUUCCUACUGUCGGAUCAGUCACUGCUGCUGCUUCCUGAGUACCAUCAGCGAGUAGAGGUGGGUGGGGCAGUGGUUGGGGCAGGAGGGCUGGGGGACAGCAGUGUGUCCAAUGCCCGCCCUUUUUCUUGCAGGUUCUCCGAACCCUGGGUUACGUGGACGAGGCGGGCACCGUGAAGCUGGCAGGGCGGGUGGCUUGUGCCAUGAGCAGCCAUGAGUUGCUCCUCACUGAGCUCAUGUUUGACAAUGCACUAAGCACCCUGCGGCCUGAGGAGAUUGCUGCCUUGCUCUCUGGCCUGGUCUGCCAGAGCCCUGGGGAUACUGGGGAUCAGCUCCCAAACACCCUCAAGCAGGGUAUAGAACGUGUCCGGGCUGUGGCCAGGCGGAUUGCCCUUCUCCGAGUUGGCAGGGCUCUCAGGGACCCCUGAAGGCCUGGUGGUGCGCUGCAUUCAGCGCCUGGCUG
rnacentral:sRNA from 1 species